rnacentral:rRNA from 1 species
GCGAGGUGGAGCUAAUCUCACAAACCUGAUCGUAGUCCGGAUUGCAGGCUGCAACUCGCCUGCAUGAAGUCGGAAUCGCUAGUAAUCGCGGAUCAGCAUGUCGCGGUGAAUACGUUCCCGGGUCUUGUACACACCGCCCGUCACACCAUGGGAGUGGGUUUUACCAGAAGUAGUUAGUCUAACCGCAAGGAGGGCGAUUACCACGGUAGGAUUCAUGACUGGGGUGAAGUCGUAACAAGGUAGCCGUAGCGGAAGCUGUGGCUGGAUCACCUCCUUUAAGAG